rnacentral:rRNA from 1 species
AGUGAACGUUGGCGGCGUGGAUUAGGCAUGCGAGUCGAGCGAGAACCGUAGCAAUACGGGGACAGCGGCGAAAGGGACAGUAAUAUGUAGGUACCUACCCUCGGGUCCGGGAUAGCCGCGGGAAACUGCAGGUAAUACCGAAUAAUGUCUCCGGACCAAAGGUGUGAUUCCACCUGGGGAGGGGCCUGCAUCCUAUUAGCUUGUUGGUGGGGUAACGGCCUACCAAGGCGACGAUGGGUAGCGGGUGUGAGAGCAUGACCCGCGUCAUUGGGACUGAGACACUGCCCAGACACCUACGGGUGGUUGCAGUCGAGAAUCUUCGGCAAUGGGCGCAAGCCUGACCGAGCGACGCCGCGUGCGGGAUGAAGGCCUUCGGGUUGUAAACCGCUGUCGUAGAGGAGGAAAUGCAGGAGGGUUCUCCCCCCUGUUUGACCUAUUCUAGGAGGAAGUACGGGCUAAGUUCGUGCCAGCCGCCGCAGUAA